UACGAAGGGUGCAAGCGUUAAUCGGAAUUACUGGGCGUAAAGCGUGCGUAGGCGGUUUCUUAAGUCUGCUGUGAAAUCCCCGGGCUCAACCUGGGAAUGGCAGUGGAUACUGGGAGGCUAGAGUGUGUCAGAGGAUGGUGGAAUUCACGGUGUAGCGGUGAAAUGCGUAGAGAUCGGGAGGAACAUCAGUGGCGAAGGCGGCCAUCUGGGACAACACUGACGCUGAAGCACGAAAGCGUGGGGAGCAAACAGG
rnacentral:rRNA from 1 species